UCCCUUAUAUUUACCAAAACUGCUUGUUUCACAGACUGCAGUUUUGUUUUGAUCCGAUGUGGUGUGCAAAUACAACCGUAUCGGCAAUGGGUUGUGGGGCAUUAACAUUUGUAAGUCUAAUUUUGUUUUGACAGACUGUGAAAAGAACGUUGAGAACAUCACCACUCUACAGGAAGACACAGUCCAGUAAUGGGUGUCAGAAUUUCAGUAGUGAACGACAGGUACUGUGGAAAAAUGUGUGUCAUUGUUGUACAAUGUCCUUUGACUCUGUUUACACAAGGUUAACACAAAAAGGUUUGAUUGUAAACUGAUAUUGGUAUGAAUUCAUGUUAUUCUCCUCUUCACAAGAAACAAACAAUCCAAAUUACCUGCAGAAAGCCCUUGAUGGACGCUUCAGCUGCAUCGUCAGACUGGCAGUACUGAUGCAUUUACUGAGACGGGACGUGAGGGCCUACUCUGCGUGCUCAGAGUUCAAGCCCAGCAGGCUGCAGCGGGCCUGACAUAUUCUGGAACAGCAGCACAGUCUUUGGAUGACUCCUCUGAAGAUGAAAACAUGGCGAGUUCUUCUCAAGAGAAGCAGUACAGGUGUGCCUCAGCUCCACGGUCCCUCCUGCAGCCUCCGCUCCUGAUGCUAACCUCAUGUCUCCAUCACACCAAGCAGCAGACCUGGAUUGACAGACCUUUCUCCAGAGCUGCCCCCUCCCUCUGAAACCCCCCUCUCAAAAACACUAUUUGUGUAGUUUUUAAAGUAUUUUUUGCAUGAUAAUUGUUGAUCAUAUCAUUUCCAGCAGAUGCCUUAAUAUAAUGU